rnacentral:rRNA from 1 species
AUUGAACGCUGGCGGCAGGCCUAACACAUGCAAGUCGAGCGGGGUUUUCGGACCUAGCGGCGGACGGGUGAGUAAUGCGUAGGAAGCUACCCGAUAGAGGGGGAUACCAGUUGGAAACGACUGUUAAUACCGCAUAAUGUCUACGGACCAAAGUGUGGGACCUUCGGGCCACAUGCUAUCGGAUGCGCCUACGUGGGAUUAGCUAGUUGGUGGGGUAAUGGCUCACCAAGGCGACGAUCCCUAGCUGGUUUGAGAGGAUGAUCAGCCACACUGGAACUGAGACACGGUCCAGACUCCUACGGGAGGCAGCAGUGGGGAAUAUUGGACAAUGGGCGCAAGCCUGAUCCAGCCAUGCCGCGUGUGUGAAGAAGGCCUUCGGGUUGUAAAGCACUUUCAGUAGGGAGGAAGGGUUAAGUGUUAAUAGUACUUAACUUUGACGUUACCUACAGAAGAAGCACCGGCUAACUCUGUGCCAGCAGCCGCCGUAAGAC